rnacentral:rRNA from 1 species
UACGGAGGGGGCGAGCGUUAUUCGGAAUUAUUGGGCGUAAAGGGCGCGUAGGCGGCCCGCACAAGUCUGCGGUGAAAACCUCCGGCUUAACCGGGGGCCGGCCGUGGAAACUGUCGGGCUGGAGGCUGGGAGAGGGCAGCGGAAUUCCCGGUGUAGCGGUGAAAUGCGUAGAGAUCGGGAGGAACACCGGCGGCGAAGGCGGCUGCCUGGACCAGUCCUGACGCUGAGGCGCGAAAGCUAGGGGAGCAAACAGG